rnacentral:rRNA from 1 species
GAUGAACGCUGGCGGCGUGCCUAAUACAUGCAAGUCGAGCGAACAGACGAGGAGCUUGCUCCUCUGACGUUAGCGGCGGACGGGUGAGUAACACGUGGAUAACCUACCUAUAAGACUGGGAUAACUUCGGGAAACCGGAGCUAAUACCGGAUAAUAUAUUGAACCGCAUGGUUCAAUAGUGAAAGACGGUUUUGCUGUCACUUAUAGAUGGAUCCGCGCCGCAUUAGCUAGUUGGUAAGGUAACGGCUUACCAAGGCAACGAUGCGUAGCCGACAUGAGAGGGUGAUCGGCCACACUGGAACUGAGACACGGUCCAGACUCCUACGGGAGGCAGCAGUAGGGAAUCUUCCGCAAGGGGCGAAAGCCUGACGGAGCAACGCCGCGUGAGUGAUGAAGGUCUUCGGAUCGUAAAACUCUGUUAUUAGGGAAGAACAAAUGUGUAAGUAACUAUGCACGUCUUGACGGUACCUAAUCAGAAAGCCACGGCUAACUACGUG